rnacentral:rRNA from 1 species
ACGCUGGCGGCAGGCUUAACACAUGCAAGUCGAGCGGGCCCUUCGGGGUCAGCGGCGGACGGGUGAGUAACGCGUGGGAACGUGCCUUCUGGUCUGGAAUAACCCUGGGAAACUAGGGCUAAUACUGGAUACGCCCUUAUGGGGAAAGGUUUACUGCCGGAAGAUCGGCCCGCGUCUGAUUAGCUAGUUGGUGGGGUAACGGCCUACCAAGGCGACGAUCAGUAGCUGGUCUGAGAGGAUGAUCAGCCACACUGGGACUGAGACACGGCCCAGACUCCUACGGGAGGCAGCAGUGGGGAAUAUUGGACAAUGGGCGCAAGCCUGAUCCAGCCAUGCCGCGUGAGUGAUGAAGGCCUUAGGGUUGUAAAGCUCUUUUAUCCGGGACGAUAAUGACGGUACCGGAGGAAUAAGCCCCGGCUAACUUCGUGCCAGCAGCCGCGGUAAUACGAAGGGGGCUAGCGUUGCUCGGAAUCACUGGGCGUAAAGGGCGCGUAGGCGGCGUUUUAAGUCGGGGGUGAAAGCCUGUGGCUCAACCACAGAAUGGCCUUCGAUACUGGGACGCUUGAGUAUGGUAGAGGUUGGUGGAACUGCGAGUGUAGAGGUGAAAUUCGUAGAUAUUCGCAAGAAC